GACGAACGCUGGCGGCGUGCUUAACACAUGCAAGUCGAACGGAAAGGCCCUGCGUUUGUGUGGUGCUCGUGUGGCGCACGGGUGAGUAACACGUGAGUAACCUGCCCUUGACUUUGGGAUAACUUCAGGAAACUGGGGCUAAUACCGGAUAGAAUCUCCUGAUGCGUGGUGGGGGUUGGAAAGAUCCGGCGGUUGGGGAUGGACUCGCGGCUUAUCAGCUUGUUGGUGGGGUAGUGGCUUACCAAGGGUUUGAAGGGUAGCCGGCCUGAGAGGGUGACCGGCCACAUGGGGACUGCGGUACGGCCCAGACUCGUACGGGCGGCAGCAGUGGGGAAUAUUGCACAAUGGGCGGAAGCCUGAUGCAGCAACGCCGCGUGCGGGAUGACGGCCUUCGGGUUGUAAACCGCUUUCGCCUGUGACGAAGCGUGAGUGACGGUAAUGGGUAAAGAAGCACCGGCUAACUACGUG
rnacentral:rRNA from 1 species